CUGCUCAGCUUUUCAGUCUGGGUCUGAGCUGAAACCUGCUGCAAGUCUGACGGUACCAAAUUACAUAUAUAUCUGUCAAAAUGAUGUAGGACCUAAAGUCUCUCUGUAAGUUGAUCCUUUUGACCCCAUGAUUAGGAGCUUCACAAUGUGGUACCACACCUGGAAACCUCCAGAACAAGAUCUCAAGGAAACACAGGAAAUUCCUGAAACAGCAAAACCCCCUAUGUGAAGACGUCUGUUAUUCCUUUGUGUAUCAGGAGCAUCACUGUUAAUUAACUGUUGAUACACUUAAAACAGCUUGGUUGGCAAUGUCCUUUUUGAAUAAAGAAGAGCCAGGUGUGUUUUUCAGGAUGAACUAGACAAUGCUGUCACAAGUUUACCUCUACAUCUUAUUGCCUUGGAAAAAUUUCCUGCAUAUCGUGGCACAAGAUGGUUGGCUCUCCAGGCAGCAGUUGGCGUUGUGAAUCAGUCAUCUCAGCAUGUGUCUCCAAGAUCCCACAGCAGGGGGAAAAAGAGGUGGAGGGUCACAUGCCUGGUGUUACAUACUUUGAGGCAGAGGUGGUAGGUGCCAUUUCUGCUCACAGCUCAUGGACCAGAACAAAGCCAUGCAUACCUGAGAGAGGACCAGAAAAUAUUCUGAAGCAGAUGGCUAUUUGGUCCGUGUUCUGACUAAAAGGAAGCCACACUCUGUCGAAAACAAGCUUUGUAAGAAAAUUUUGAAGUAUUUACUUAUAUCUAACCAUUCAUUCCACCUUUUCUCCCAAAUAACACUCUAAUAUCUUGAGACAUCUUGUCUAGGGCCAGAUUUCAUAAAUGCUUGUGAGGCAGGAGAAUAAGUUCCAGAGGCAGUUCACACUGCCUAAAGCCAAUUCACACUGACUUCCUAUAACUAAAUCUAAAGGAAAAUCUCAACUUUCCUCGCCCAAGUAACAAAAGAAUCAGAGGUUAUACUCCCUUUGCAACCUGCCCCUUUUCUGCCUGGCAGAUGAAAAAUGAAAAGUACCUAUGACUGGUCCCCUCCCACGACCAGCCAGACUGGUCACGGAUCACUACUUCAUUUACAUAGGGCGUAAACCGAGUAACCAAUGGGAAACCUCUAGAGGGUAUUUAAACCCCAGAAAAUUCUGUAACCGGUGGUCUCCAGCAGGUUGCUCAAUCUUGCUGCCACUCUGUGGGAUGUACUUUUGUUUCAAUAAAUCUGUG
rnacentral:lncRNA from 10 species